rnacentral:rRNA from 1 species
AGAGUUUGAUCAUGGCUCAGAACGAACGCUGGCGGCGUGGAUAAGACAUGCAAGUCGAGCGGGAUUUCUUUCUGUAGCAAUACAGGGAAAAGUCCAGCGGCGAACGGGUGCGUAACACGUGGGCAAUCUGUCUUAAAGUGGGGGAUAGCUCGGCGAAAGCCGAAUUAAUACCGCAUGUGAUCAGGGAAGACAUCUUUCCAAAAUCAAAGGUGGCGCAAGCUACCGCUUUUUGAGGGGCCCGCGGCCUAUCAGCUUGUUGGUGAGGUAACGGCUCACCAAGGCUAUGACGGGUAGCUGGUCUGAGAGGACGACCAGUCACACUGGGGCUGAGACACGGCCCAGACACCUACGGGUGGCAGCAGUCGAGAAUUUUUGACAAUGGGGGAAACCCUGAUCGAGCGACGCCGCGUGGAGGAUGAAGGUCUUCGGGUUGUAAACUCCUGUCAUUUGGGAACAAGGCGCACGUAUUAACUGUACGUGCGUUGAUAGUACCAGAAGAGGAAGAGACGGCUAACUCUGUGCCAGCAGCCGCGGUAAUACAGAGGUCUCAAGCGUUGUUCGGAUUCAUUGGGCGUAAAGGGUGUGUAGGUGGCGCCGUAAGUCGGGUGUGAAAUUUCGGAGCUUAACUCCGAAACUGCAUUCGAUACUGCGGUGCUUGAGGACUGGAGAGGAGACUGGAAUUUACGGUGUAGCAGUGAAAUGCGUAGAUAUCGUAAGGAAGACCAGUGGCGAAGGCGGGUCUCUGGACAGUUCCUGACACUGAGACACGAAGGCCAGGGGAGCAAACGGGAUUAGAUACCCUAGUAGUCC